rnacentral:tRNA from 2 species
CGGGACGUGGCGCAGCUUGGUUAGCGCACUGGUCUGGGGGACCAGGGGUCGCCGGUUCAAAUCCGGCCGUCCCGACCA